CUGUGCAUGCAAAAUGAUAAUAAAGUAAGUCUAAGUCUAAGUCUAAGAAGACUGGUUCCAGAACCAGAGCGAUGUGUUGAGGCGAAAUCGACUAAUGCUAGCCGGAAUCUCUCAAACUCACAAUCUAGCUCCGGCUCCUUCCCCAUCAGAGAGGUGACAUUCUAUGCCCCAAGAGCCAGCUUCUGCAACCAAGGGUCGGGCCGCCAGGGCCCCCCUCCCUCUGCCACCACCCAUCACACACUGUACCCGACCCCUUGGGCUCCAAUGGGCUCACCCACAGGUGGUGAGCCAAUUGGAAGGGGGACCCAUGUUUCCUCUUCGGGCUGAGCCCGGCUGGGCUCUAUGGGUAAAAGCCCGGCAACCAGGCGCUUGCCAACGUGCCCCAACUCCAGGCCUGGCUCCAGAGUAGGGCCCCGGUGACCCACAUCCGGGCGAGGGAACACUAAGUCCAUUGUUAUAACUCAUCAUAAGUCAUCAUAAGCAGCACACAUAUUCAAAAAUUUUGGCAGAACUUGGUGUUCCAAGUCUCGAGUUGACUGGCCUCGACUCGGGACUUGAAAUGUGUUUCAUGCCCUCAUGCUUAGACCCAUCUAACAUGUUUUUGGACAUCCAAACAAACACGACGAGAUAAAAAGCAAUAUGACAGCACACAUAAUGAACCUGUCAUCUUUAGGUUUUCUUAGAAAAACAGAACUAUUUUCUGUGCAGUGGUUUUCAGGAGGUGUAACUAGAAACUCAACACAAAACUUCCCUGAUUUCUGCAGAAUUUCUUUUUGGAGGUGACCCUAAACAACUAUUGCAGACUUGAGCUUCUAACAAAUAACAAACCAUGCUCAGACAUGUCUGUCAGUCAGUUCUUUCAGUAAUACAGCAGUUAAAUCACAAUUCCUUGAAUAAAUAUUAUUUAUAUAAACAGUGGGCUCAAAGAAAAACUCCCACAUCCAGGCAGAUUUUCUUUGCCCCACUCACAGCAAACCCCAUUUCUUUCCCAACAUAACUGCAUUUGCCUCUAGAGUUUAACAAACUUUGAAAACAGAGAACAGCCGAAAAUACAGAAAUUGUGGAAAUAUUCUCUACAUAUUCUAAGAUGAUCAAGUCUGUGCUUAGUAAAAGGCCCAGUUUUUUGACCUAAGAAUUCAAGUUCCAAUCAUUUUUAGUGAAGCUGUCAUGUAACACUGUUAUAUCACUGCAUGGACUAUAAACAGGAAUCAGAGCCAUGUGAAGUUGUCCUUGAAUAGUCUCUUGGAACGUGAGACUCAGUCUUGACUAUUCACAGAAUUGGGUACAUUUACUCAAUUACAUUUCCUCUACAUUUUUAACCCCUUAACCCUCACCUCCUAAAUCACCAAAAACAGUAAAAAGGUAUACCCAAAUUAAAUCAGCUGCUGUUCUUGAACAAUUUGGAGUACAUGCAAAAGCUUGGUCUCUUUAUGAAGAUGACAAGCUAAAUUUUCUAUUUUUGCAGUCAAAAAAUACUUUAACUGUAAAUAGUUUGCAGCUAUUAUGUUUGUAACAAAUUUAAAUUUUUUUUUUUUUUGCUCCAUCCAGAUUUUUCAUUUUUAUUUCUUGUAAAUGCACAUUGAGUGUUGAAUGUAAGGACUAGAAAUACAAUAAAAAUUUAGAGAAUCCUCUGGUAGACACAACAUUACUGAUAAAGGAAAUUAUUUACAAUUAUAUAAGUAACAUGGCAUACCUAGGGAUCAGGGGGGGUUAGUGUACAGUCAGUCCUCCUCCUCCUUCUUGCAAUACGCUGUCCGUCCGUCUCCCCCCCAGCGCUCAACGGUACGCUAGCACUCCCCUCCUACCCCCACCAUCUCUCCUUCUUAUUCGAAACUCCCCCGCCCCGUUCCUCCCACGCCAACAUUCCCUCGGCCCCCAUUCUUGCUCUUCAGUACGCUCUUCCCACCUCGCUCUGACUGUAACAACGGACGACUAAAAGUUUCCAGUAUUCUCUCGGAUCCAAAACUUGUCAGCUCUUACGGCCAUAAUCAUCCACUCCAGUGAGUUGUGAAGUUCUGCUGAAGAAAUAGAUCUAGUUUUGACACGUUCUGACAAAGUGUCUCUCCGUGGCUCGCCGUUGGUGAGGAAAAAGUCCUGUAAACACCGUUACGCAUGAGGGCGCACAGAACCUGACUUUGACGCAGCACAGGCGCACACAUUACGCAUGGUUACACAUGCAUCUGGUGGAUUCAUGUCAAAACAAACCCCCAAAUGCCUUAUAUCCUUAUGACUGGACGCGUGUUGGCUACACAUCGGUGACUUUAGAUUUAGUUUCCGAGUUGACCAGUCAGAAAUAUUCCAGAAAGAAUAGAGGCAUGUCAAAACGAGCUCUCUGGAUAUUAUUGGCUCGGAAAAAGCCAUUUCAUAACAUUAUUGGUUGAAUGCGGUGUCAAUCAAAAGAGUGUGUGUGUGGAGGGGGGUACGGGGGGAGGCUCUAAGCUCCCCAAUAAAAGCGUCCUAAUGGACACCGACAGAGUUUAAACCCUUAAAUCUUACCGCUGGAAAAUAAAAUGGAAAAACAGCACGAGGGCAUUCCGGUGCAGGUUAAGGGAUUUAAAUAACUUAGUAUUAUUAUUAUUAUUAUUACGCUGUACUUUUUGCUUUACUUGAGUAAUUGUAUUAUUAAGUAUUGCUAUUCUUACUUGAGUAAACUUUCUGGAUUCUCCACUGAAUGAAUAACAAACAUGUUUUAACCAAAAAUUCACCAGGCAAAGACACACACCUGCAGUUUUUGUCAAAGUUUUAUAAGUUUUAUAUUGAAAGAAACUGAUUUGGGAAAAAAAAUAUUUUGCCUGAUUCUGUCAUUUUUUGCCACUUAUGUGAAUUAUUGUACUUUUGGUUCUUGAAAUAACAAAAUUUCCACUUAGCUUUAUAAUUUGAUACAUCUGAUUAUGUAAUUUUAAAAUAUUACAUAAUUGAUAAUUUCAUCAGUUACUCAUACACAAGUACUUGACUUUUUAUCAAAUGCUUUUUUACUCUUACUUGAGUAAUUUCUUGAACGGUUACUUUUUACUUUUACUUCAGCAAAAGUAUGUUGAAGUAGUGCUAUUCUAAUUUGAGUAAAAAUAUUUUGUAGUCUACCCAAAAAUGAAUUUACCGUUUACUCAACCCACCUCUGACUAUUCAGCUCACAUCUGAACAUUUCAUUUCCUCUCCCUGGAGGAGUGGGGGAGGGGACGUGCAGCAAACAGCUGCUCAGCAUAUUUCCUGAACUACAGCUUUAUCUGCCCCAAAAGUAGCUUUACUAGAGUUCUACCCACAGAAGCACAUGAGAACACCCAGGAGACUAUGGAGAAGACAUCUUCAUCAGCUCCACCACCUCCAAUCCUUUUCUGAACGAGACAUUCUUUACUCUAAUGCUCUAACACCAAAACUUAACCUUAUCCCAUAAUCCUUAGCCUUUACAUCCAACCAUAUCCCAUACCCUGUGACCUUUCCCCUAACCAAUGCUAAACCCAAACUACAGCGAUAAGUCGUUAGUUGUAUAUCAAUAGCAGACGGCCAGUCAUGAACCAGAAAAGGAGUGGGACAAGUUUACUGUUGCAUAUGUGCCAGCUGGAAAGAAUGUCUUGAAGAAUUAGAAG